GGCCCUUUUCCUGGAAAUCAGGCCAUCCAGGGGCAGGCCUCGAGGCAGCCCUGGGAGCUGAAGUUGGCCAUCUUGCAUCACCGCCGAAAGUCAUUGUGAAAGGCCAGGCCUUUUAGGAAAGAGACGAGGCCACCGGGGCUGGCAUGGAGAUCCCCCGAUGCCAGCAGGGCCCCUCCUCCAGGGAGCCCUCCUGCACUAUACUCCUUGGAAGGCCGCCAGGAUUGGGGUCCUUCUUCCUGGGGUCCUUCCUCCUCCAGCUCGGGUAGGAGGCCAGGCUCGCCGAGCACCCCUCACGGCUCAUGUUUCCCACCUUCCCCAUCGUCCAAACAGAAAGAUGAAAAAGGAGUGGAGGGCCGUAAAAUCCCCACUUUCUGCAUCUAAGCUCUCUGGCCUGGCAGCUGGUCCUUCCUCAUAUCUGACUUAAAUACACCCAGGUGUAUUUCGGCUGACCCACACUGGGAGUAAGUCAUAGACACGAUGCUUAGUGCGGGGCUCCCUGCUUCACCACUGGCUGGCACGUGGCUGGAUCUCUGUGCCUCCAAGUCCUCACUCGAGAAACGGGGAUAAUUAAGGGCUUCCGGUGUCAUGAGCUGGUCUGAUGAAGUCAGUUACUGAACACAAAGCUCUUAGAACAGCGCCUGGCACCUGGAGAAAUUGACCAAAGACAGCCGUCUACCCAAACGCGUUGAACGUAGGAUCGAGAAGAAAGAGCUGAACUCCCACGCUCACAACCCGUUAUCCAUGAUGGCCAAAGGGUGGCAGCCACUCAAUUGUCCACGGAUGGACAAAACGAUAAACCAUGAAACAGUCAAGCUUAAAAAGGAAGGACAUUCUGGAGUUCCCGUCGUGGUGCAGUGGUUAACGAAUCCGACCAGGAACCAUGAGGUUGCGGGUUUGAUCCCUGGCCUCGCUCAGUGGGUUGACGAUUCAGCGUUGCUGUGAGCUGUGGUGUAGGUUGCAGACGCGGCUCGGAUCCUGCGUUGCUGUGGCUCUGGUGUGGGCUGGUGGCUACGGCUCCGCCUGGACCCCUAGCCUGGGAACCUCCAUAUGCUGUGGGAGCGGCCCAAGAAAUGGCAAAAAGACCAAAAAAAAAAAAAAAAAAAAAAAAGGAAGGACAUUCUGACACGUGCCACAACAGGGAUGAGGCCUGAGGACCUUAAGUGACAUAAGACCGUCACAAAAGGAAAAACACAGUUAUGAAUCCACUUAUAUGAGCUACUUAGAGUAGUGAAAUUCAUAGAGAUGCAAGGUAGAAUGGCAGGUGCCAGGCCUGUGGGGAGGUGAGAAUGGGAAGUUCCUGUGGGUUUUUUUUUUUUUCCUGCUUUUUAGAGCUGCAUCUGUGGCAUACGGAGGUUCCCAGGCUAGGGGAUGAAUCAGAGCUUCAACCGCUGGCCUACACCACAGCCACAGCAACACCAGAUCCA
rnacentral:lncRNA from 1 species